UGUUUAGUGCCGAAGCCUCUUUAGUACCACAAACUAAUAUUAUAAAACUCCCUAAAC
rnacentral:tRNA from 1 species